AGACCCUCCCAAGAAAACAAAAUUAACAUCAAAUACAAGACCAGGGCUAUCCACCACACUGAAGUGUUUUCUGCGACAGCAUGCAUUCACACUAUGUCUACAGACGGGAUUUAUGUUAGAGAGCCUGCGGUCCAGAUGGUUGAACUACUACUUGCUCUUCGUCUCUUUAUGGAAAGGAUUCAAACUGAACAGCAGGUUACCGUUUUAUGUACAUAUUGUGACCUGAAUUUGAGGGCGUAGAGAAAAGCCCGGGAGGAACCUCACGAGAAUGGUACCUGCUUGUGUGUGCCAGGGGAGGGUGUCACUAACCCCUCACCACGUUCUUACUUUCGGUUGAGUCUGUGUGAUGAAGAUGUAUGACUUUUUGCUCUAAUGGAAAGAAGCAAGCAGCCCUGGGAAGCUCUUAGCAGACGAGUCCCCAAAGCCUGUAACUACCCAGGAGGAUGCAUUUUGCUAAAAGCCUGGACAUCGUGGAGAAAAUGAUAAAAAGGACCACAUCGGGCAGAUAAAAUGACAGUGGUAGAAGGGCCCGAGGCAGAGGAAAUUGAAAGAAAAUGGAAGAAAUGAGAGAGAAAUUGCAGCACUGAGGAUAUUUGAGUGUAUUCCCCUGGAGAGCGAAAAUAGCAUGAAUUUUUAGAACAAAAUAUUAAUGCUUAAAAGUGCCCAGUCAUGGCUGCCUGAGGCUUCUGAUUGCUGCCUUCAAGUUUAGCCAUUCACACCUCUGGGUGUGUCUGCAGUGGUGUUCUUAGAGAUGACUAGC